UUUUUUUAUUUAAACCAAAUUCAUUAAUUCCCAUUGUCUUUCUUUAGAGUGGAAAAGCAGAUAAUCCAUAACAUCAUGCGAACAGCCCAACUGGAAACUGGAGACUCCAUACAAUACUACCUGAAAACCUUGUUUCUGAAUGUGGUAAACCUCAGUGAUGCUGAACUAAACUCCACAGAAGAUGACUCCACCAUUCAGAUAAAAGCUCCACAGGUAAACAAGCUGUGGUGAAGAUGGUGCUGAUGAAUUUAGAAGGGACAGUGAUGAUUAAGAUAGCAUGAUGCUGAAUAUGUUAAUGUAUUUGUUACGUUAGGCUGACAUGACUUUAGGCAGUGCUCAGUCAAUUUUCUGCCCUAGUUUGACAUCAUCUACUUUUAUGCCUAGCUGCCUCAGAACAAGUCAUUUGUCCCCGACAUUUGGCUGCCAGUGUUUGACCUGCGCACCAUCCCAAAGGACGGGAGGAUUAUUGGUCUGGUCACCUACAUGUCGGACAGCCAAUUCCAAUUUGAACAAGAACAUUUCUCAUCAAUGGUCAUCAGGAUAGAGCUACUGGGGAAGAAACGGCUUCAUAAUCUGAAAACGCCCAUCACAAUGAUUUUCCAAACCUUUACAAUCGCAGAUAUGGACGUAAGUCUAUUUUCAAUCUAUUUAUCAACUGCAGAGGAUAGAUAGUGCCUUAUGGUAUGCUGUAGAUUUUUGCAAAUUGUGGGCUACAUAAAUAAGAUGGACUUGAUUUGACUCUAUUUUGGUGAUGGCGUAUGUAUGACACAUGGCAGGCAUUGUUGAAGUGGCAUUUUUGACAUUUAGAUAUUGUUUUCAUAGUUGUUGCUUUUGUAUUUUAGUACUUAGUUUAUUAAACUUGGUUGUACCUCAGUAGUGGUCACUCUACAAUUUCUGCUAAGCAGUCCAUCAAUCUCCCAGAAUUAGUAUGUGUCAAACCAAAUUUAUUCAAUCAGGAUAUAUUGUGCUUUUUGUGGUGUAAUCACACAGAACUGUUAUAAUUAAUCACACAAUUGUCAAGCUUUAGCUUUAAAAGGGAGUGAAAAUAAUAGAUUUUACUGGAUUUGUGCCACCAGGGUUUUUUGUAUUUAAAUGGGAAGCAUGUACCACUGUUAACUUCACUGUAGCUAUAUAUUUUUGUAUUUUCACAGAAUGACUCAUGGUUAGAGUGUCGCUACUUUGAUGAACAUGGUAGGCAUAUAUCAGUUUUUAUAUAUUUAUAUGGGUAUAUCAAAUGUAUAUAAUGUCAUUUUUUGUAUGCCUUUAUGGCAUGUUGGUCUUGCUAUUUAGAUGACCAGCUGAAUUAUGCCUAUUUAAGUAAACUAAGUUACAAUGUCCACAUUCCUCAGAUUAUGUCUGGAAAACAGAUGGAUGUGAGACAUACAACAGAACCAAUAGUAGCCAAACUGACAUUAUUUGCAACUGUGACCAUACAACACCAUUUGCUGUCCUAAUGGUAAGGUGAUACAUUGAUAAGGAGACAAUGACUUGUUCCUGAUGAUAAAUCAACCAGUUAGUCGAGUAUUUAUUCAUUUGGCACCUUUAAAACAAGAAGGAAAAAACAACAACAAAUGAUUAUUCAGCACUGGUACAAAACUGGUAUAACUCUAUAUGAGAAAUGACUUUUUUUCUAGAUGUUGG
rnacentral:lncRNA from 15 species